UACGUAGGGUGCAGGCGUUAAUCGGAAUUACUGGGCGUAAAGCGUGCGCAGGCGGCUCCUUAAGUCAGAUGUGAAAGCCCCGGGCUUAACCCGGGAACUGCGUUUGAAACUGGGGGGCUAGAGUGUGGAAGAGGGGGGUGGAAUUCCAGGUGUAGCAGUGAAAUGCGUAGAGAUCUGGAGGAACACCGAUGGCGAAGGCAGCCCCCUGGGCUAACACUGACGCUCAUGCACGAAAGCGUGGGGAGCAAACAGG
rnacentral:rRNA from 1 species